GAUUAACGCUAGCGGCAGGCAUAAUACAUGCAAGUUGAACGGGAUAAGUUGUAGCAAUACGGCUUUGAGAGUAGCGCACGGGUGCGUAACACGUAUGCAACCUGCCCUUUACUGGGGAAUAGCCUCUCGAAAGAGAGAUUAAUACCCCAUAACAUAUUUUGUAGGCAUCUAUAGAAUAUUAAAGCUACGGCGGUAAAGGAUGGGCAUGCGGCUGAUUAGGUAGUUGGUGAGGUAAUGGCUCACCAAGCCAACGAUCAGUAGGGGGUCUGAGAGGAUGUCCCCCCACACUGGUACUGAGACACGGACCAGACUCCUACGGGAGCAGCAGUAGGGAAUAUUGGACAAUGGGCGCAAGCCUGAUCCAGCCAUGCCGCGUGCCAGGAAGAAGGCCCUAUGGGUCGUAAACUGCUUUUGUACGGAACGAAACGGUCCUUUCUAA
rnacentral:rRNA from 1 species